GUAAGUUACUUUCCAACAAUGGCAUUCGAGAGUGGAAAGUUGAACCGUAAGUUUGGCUGGAAGAGCAAGCAUUCUGUUCAUCUGCAGACAUCCUCUUUCUCUCUCUUUUGGCACUCAUGACUGUUUUUUUUUUUUCUUUUGUGGAAGAACCUGUGUUUGGCAGCAUAGGCCUGUCAGCAUCCUUGUAAACUACAGCUUCUCUUAGUGAAAGGCCUUGCAUAGUGGGUGCUUAGCUUUCUUUCACGGGCUCCGAGGACUCUCCUUCUGGGAAGAUCCGCAGUUCCCUUCCAUUCUGCCUUGAGGUGGCAGGUGCUGCAGGCAGGCUUUGUUCCUGAACCUACUCUGAGUCCUGACCUGAGCACUUGAAUGGCAGUGAGACUUUGGAAAAGAUACUUCACAGCUUUGAAUCUUGAUUUCCUCAGCUGUAAGACGGGCAUCUUGAGGAACACGCAAGGAAAGGAGAAUGAAGGCAUCUCACACGCAAGAUGGUCCAGAUGCCCCCUGGAAGAGGCAUCUUCGUCUUCAACAGAUUGAGGACAGUUGGCUGCCAUUCACUGCUUGCGAAGGGAAAAAGGCUUAAACUUCAGGAAAUAGAUUUGGAACCGGAUCAAUCCCAUCCUCGACUCUGCCAUCCUUCUGUCAGAAUUAUAAACAGAAG
rnacentral:lncRNA from 1 species